rnacentral:lncRNA from 1 species
GGCGGGGUCUCGGAAGCUGCGGCCUGUGGUGCCUUUGCUGAGCCCAGCUUUUACACUUCCUGAUCUGGGCAUAUACUGCUACAUACUGGAUCAUCAAGGAAGGAGGAAAAUACCUAGUCAAUGAAGGUUUAGCCAUGACCUUAAUGCCCUCUUGGUCGAGUGCAGUGGCUCACACCUGUGAUCCCAACACUUUGGGAGGCUGAGGCAGGAGGAUUGCUUGAGCCCAGAAGUUCAAGACCAGCCUGGACAACAUAGACACAGAAUGGUCUGCCUGGGCCUCAGUCACAUUGGAGGAGCAGAGAGAGAAGGAGCCAUGAGGAGUCACUCAAGGGUUUUAGGCAGAGCCGUGACACAACCAGAGAUACUACGAGCAAAGGUUCCGGAACAGGGCAGGGCAGGACAGGUUUGAGAGCAAUGGCGCGAUUUCGGCUCACAGCAACCUCCGCCUCCUGGGUUCAAGCUAUUCUCCUGCCUCAACAACCUCCUGAGGGCUGGGAUUACAGGUCCUCAGAGCCACCUCCAUCUUCCUCCUUGCAAUGAAUCCCACUCCACUCACACCACGGGUCCCGGCUACACUUCGCCAUCUUCUCUGUCUGCUGGCAAAAAUGACCUCAAGUAUUUCUUCCAUAUGUAGGUUUUCGUCCACGGUUCCAGGCUCAUAACUCCCACAGCCCUGUUUAGAGCCUUUGAUUAUGAUGUUGGCUGUGUUAGGCCUCAGGAGCAGGCCUUGGGGAAACAGAAUCUCUCUGGCCUUUUCCUGUCCUCCUUUCACCCGCCUAAGGCCGUACUCUAAUCUUCCUCCACCUUUCUGAUUGUGGGACCCUAAUUCCAGAGAGGGUCCUGCCCCAUACUCUGGGAGAAGGAAUGCUGUGGUUAUGAAUCUUCUAUAAAAACCCAAGAGGCCUGGUUCAGAGAGCUUCUCCAUAGCUGACCAUGUGAGGCUCCUAGAGUGUGGUGUGCCCACGGAGGGCAUGGAGCCUCCACACCCUUUCCCACUAUUUCUGCCCUACACAUCUCUUCAUCUGUAUCCUUUGCAAUAUCCUUCAUAAUAAACCAGUAAACA